UCUAGUCAGGAUGAGACAGAUGGACCAGCGCAGUCUCAGAGCAGUAAACGCAAGCGUGCAGAGCAGGACCGUACCUCUGCGAAGAAGAGAAAGUUGGUUGCAGAUGAUUAACAACCAGAAUGCCACAGCAGUUUCUUCAUAUGCAGCUGUCUUGUAUUAUACCUGAACAGACAUUUGAAGUAGAACAGGCUUUAAAAACAUGCUUCAGAGAGGAAUAAUCAGAAACAAGUGCACAGAAGCAUAGAGUAUGCCUGCAAAACUACGCGAACUAGGUAAUGGUAUCAUUGUACCAUUUGCAGGGUUCAAUAAAUGUCAACUUAGUGGACAAGUCAAAUGCCA